rnacentral:rRNA from 1 species
CCUACGGGUGGCAGCAGUAGGGAAUAUUGCUCAAUGGGGGAAACCCUGAAGCAGCAACGCCGCGUGGAGGAUGAAGGUUUUCGGAUUGUAAACUCCUUUUGUUAUAGAAGAUAAUGACGGUAUCUAACGAAUAAGCACCGGCUAAUUCCGUGCCAGCAGCCGCGGUAAUACGGAGGGUGCAAGCGUUACUCGGAGUCACUGGGCGUAAAGAGCGCGUAGGGGGGAUAGCAAGUCAGAUGUGAAAUCCUAUGGCUUAACCAUAGAACUGCAUUUGAAACUGUUAUUCUAGAGUAUGGGAGAGGUAGGUGGAAUUCUUGGUGUAGGGGUAAAAUGCGUAGAGAUCAAGAGGAAUACUCAUUGCGAAGGCGACCUGCUAGAACAUAACUGACACUGAUGCGCGAAAGCGUGGGGAGCAAACAGGAUUAGAUACCCUAGUAGUC